UUUAACGUUCGAUCUCAAAUCAGGUA
rnacentral:rRNA from 1 species